GAUGAACGCUGGCGGCGUGCCUAAUACAUGCAAGUCGAGCGAACAGACGAGGAGCUUGCUCCUCUGACGUUAGCGGCGGACGGGUGAGUAACACGUGGAUAACCUCCCUAUAAGACUGGGAUAACUUCGGGAAACCGGAGCUAAUACCGGAUAAUAUAUUGAACCGCAUGGUUCAAUAGUGAAAGACGGUUUUGCUGUCACUUAUAGAUGGAUCCGCGCCGCAUUAGCUAGUUGGUAAGGUAACGGCUUAUCAAGGCAACGAUGCGUAGCCGACCUGAGAGGCUGAUCGGCCACACUAGAACUGAGACACGGUCCAUGCUCCUACGGGAGGCAGCAGUAGGGAAUCUGCCGCAAUGGGCGAAAGCCUGACGGAGCGACGCCGCGUGAGUGAUGAAGGUCUUCGGAUCGUAAAACUCUGUUAUUAGGGAAGAACAAAUGUGUAAGUAACUAUGCACGUCUUGACGGUACCUAAUCAGAAAGCCACGGCUAACUACGUG
rnacentral:rRNA from 1 species